CGANUGUNAUGGGCGAAGCCUGACACAGCGACGCCGCGUGGGGGAAGAAGGCCUUCGGGUUGUAAACCCCUUUUCUUAGGGAAGAAUAAUGACGGUACCUGAGGAAUAAGCCUCGGCUAACUACGUGCCAGCAGCCGCGGUAAUACGUAGGAGGCAAGCGUUAUCCGGAUUUACUGGGCGUACAGAGAGCGUAGGCGGUCCUUCAAGUCGGAUGUGAAAUCUCCCGGCUUAACUGGGAGGGGUCAUCCGAUACUGCUGGACUUGAGGGCAGAAGAGGGAGGCGGAACUCCCGGUGUAGUGGUGAAAUGCGUAGAUAUCGGGAAGAACACCAGUGGCGCAGGCGGCCUCCUAGGAUGUACCUGACGCUGAGGCUCGAAAGCGUGGGGAGCGAACAGGAUCAGAUACCCUGGUAGUCCACGCCCUAAACUGUGGACACUAGGUACAGGGAGUAUCGACCCUUCCUGUGCCGUAGCUAACGCGUUAAGUGUCCCGCCUGGGGACUACGGUCGCAAGACUAAAACUCAAAAAAAUUGACGGA
rnacentral:rRNA from 1 species